rnacentral:rRNA from 1 species
AGGGAGGAAUAUUGGGCAAUGGACGAAAGUCUGACCCAGCAACGCCACGUGAAGGAUGAAGGCCUUCGGGUCGUAAACUUCUUUUGAGGGAGACGAGAAAGGACGGUAUCCCUCGAAUAAGCCGCGGCUAACUACGUGCCAGCAGCCGCGGUAAAACGUAGGUGGCGAGCGUUAUCCGGAUUCAUUGGGCGUAAAGAGCUUGUAGGUGGUGCGAUAAGUUGGACGUGAAAACUCCGGGCUUAACUUGGAGAGGCCGUUCAAUACUGUUGUGCUAGAGGGCGUCAGAGGGAAGUGGAAUUCCUGGUGUAGCAGUGAAAUGCGUAGAUAUCAGGAGGAACAUCCGUGGCGAAGGCGGCUUCCUGGGGCGCACCUGACACUGAGAAGCGAAAGCUAGGGGAGCAAACGGGAUUAGAAACCCCGGUAGUCCUAGCUGUAAACGAUGGAUGCUAGGUGUGAGUGGAUCU